GCCUGAGUAGUUCAUCGGUAGAACGCUUUCUUGGUAAGAAAGAAGUAGUGAGUCCAAUUCUCACCUCAGGCUCCA
rnacentral:tRNA from 1 species